ACUAGGUACAAACCCGUGCGUACGCACGGGACGCGCCUUCGGCGCGUUAUAUUGCGUCGGUUUCUUAGGUCGUAAGUGUGGUACGGCGCGUUGCACGCGCCUUCGGCGCGUUACGUAGUUGAUUUCAACGAUAUAAUUUUUUGAUAAAUAGAACAAUUAAUUGGAUUUCAGCCUUGUCUUUAUAAAUAAUGGAGAUAAUUUUUGUUUGCC
rnacentral:lncRNA from 1 species